GUGACGGAUCCCACCAGCUUCAGCCAGCGGAUGAACCCUCUGGGUCUUCACAAACAUCCUUACACUCUAGUGCCCAAGAAGAAAUCAUUUCAAUAAUUGUGGGUUCAGAAGAUGGGCCAUCAACGUCGUCAGCUUCUCGUCCUCAGUCUUCUGCUGUUUCUUCUUCUCCCUCUGGGAAACUGGAUGCUGUUGUAGAUAAAACCACAGAACAACUUAGCAAGAUUUCAGAGCUGAUUUUGUCCCAGACAAAUCUGAAAGCCACACAACAUUCAGAGAUCAUGGAUGCAUUACACGGUAUUCGUAGUGAUUUAGCUGAAUUAAGGCACCAGAGCCAGAUUUCAAAUGAAGUGAAAAACCAGAAAAGACUGGACAGUAAAUUAUUCCGCAGCCAACUUUUGCAAUUAAAAAGAGAAAAAUUGGAUAUAUUGCGAUUAAAAUACGGCCUCGGCGUUCCUAGUUCAUCCAAACCAAUCCAUGAACAGAAGGAGGAAGAAAUGUCCAUAAAGGAAGAGGAAUUUUCUUCCCCCCAAAUUAAGAAAA